rnacentral:lncRNA from 1 species
GCGUGUAACUGGUGUUGAUUAUUUUUGGCUGGUCACAUUGGUUCAGUUGCAUUGAGAAUAUGCAACCACUAUAUUAACAGUAGAUGCUCUGGGGUAGAGAUGGGGUUGGGCCCAAUAACUAUUAGGUGCAGGACCCGAUGAUAGCUUUACACCCAUUGAUGAACAGUGAGUCUAAUUUAAUUAAAAAAUAUGAUCAAUAACUAUUAGGUGAGUUGUCCACUUAUCGAUAUACGUAUUAUCAAUAACUGUUAGAUGAGGUACACGUACAUUGGUGGGACCACAAUACCCACUAGAAAUUCUUGUGAUAUU